AGUGAACGCUGGCGGUAGGCCUAACACAUGCAAGUCGAACGGCAGCACAGUAAGAGCUUGCUCUUACGGGUGGCGAGUGGCGGACGGGUGAGGAAUACAUCGGAAUCUACUUUUUCGUGGGGGAUAACGUAGGGAAACUUACGCUAAUACCGCAUACGACCUACGGGUGAAAGCAGGGGAUCUUCGGACCUUGCGCGAUUGAAUGAGCCGAUGUCGGAUUAGCUAGUUGGCGGGGUAAAGGCCCACCAAGGCGACGAUCCGUAGCUGGUCUGAGAGGAUGAUCAGCCACACGGGAACUGAAAAACGGCCCAGACUCCGAGGGGAGGCAGCGGGGGGGAAUAUUGGGAAAUGGGGGCAAGCCUGAACCAGCCAUACCGGGGGGGGGAAGAAGGCCUUCGGGUUGUAAAGCCCUUUUGUUGGGAAAAAAAAGCAGCAGGUUAAACCCCCGCUGUUCUGACGGUACCCAAAAAAAAAGCACCGGCUAACUUCGU
rnacentral:rRNA from 1 species